rnacentral:misc_RNA from 1 species
GAUGAAGAACGUAGCGAAUUGCGAUAAGUAAUGUGAAUUGCAGAUUUUCAGUGAAUCAUCGAAUCUUUGAACGCACCUUGCGCCCUUUGGCCAUUCCGAAGGGCAUGCCUGUUUGAGUAUCAUGAACACCUCAACUCUUCAUGGUUUUCCGUGAUGAGCUUGGACUUUGGGGGUCUUGCUGGCCUAUGGUCAGCUCCUCUAAAAUAAAUCAGCUUGCCAGUGUUUGGUGGGUAUCACAGGUGUGAUAACUAUCUACGCUUGUGGUUUUCCACCAGGUAACCUUCAGCAGUGGAGGUUCGCUGGAGCUCACAGAUGUGUCUCUCCUCAGUGAGGACAGCUCUUUGAAUGUUUGAUCUCAAAUCAGGUAGGACUACCCGCUGAACUUAAGCAUAUCAAUAAGCGGAGGA